rnacentral:rRNA from 1 species
UACGUAGGGCGCAAGCGUUGUCCGGAAUUACUGGGCGUAAAGGGCGCGUAGGCGGCUUGGUAAGUCGGGGGUGAAAGUCAGCGGCUCAACCGCUGGACUGCCUUCGAGACUGCCUGGCUUGAGCAUGGUAGAGGCUGGCGGAAUUCCCGGUGUAGCGGUGGAAUGCGUAGAGAUCGGGAAGAACAUCGGUGGCGAAGGCGGCCAGCUGGGCCAUUGCUGACGCUGAGGCGCGACAGCGUGGGGAGCAAACAGG